rnacentral:rRNA from 1 species
GACGAACGCUGGCGGCGUGCUUAACACAUGCAAGUCGAACGAAGAGCGACGGAAGCUUGCUUCUAUCAAUCUUAGUGGCGAACGGGUGAGUAACGCGUAAUCAACCUGCCCUUCAGAGGGGGACAACAGUUGGAAACGACUGCUAAUACCGCAUACGAUCUAACCUCGGCAUCGAGGAUAGAUGAAAGGUGGCCUCUACAUGUAAGCUAUCACUGGAGGAGGGGAUUGCGUCUGAUUAGCUAGUUGGAGGGGUAACGGCCCACCAAGGCGAUGAUCAGUAGCCGGUCUGAGAGGAUGAACGGCCACAUUGGGACUGAGACACGGCCCAGACUCCUACGGGAGGCAGCAGUGGGGAAUCUUCCGCAAUGGACGAAAGUCUGACGGAGCAACGCCGCGUGAGUGAUGACGGCCUUCGGGUUGUAAAGCUCUGUUAAUCGGGACGAAAGGCCUUCUUGCGAAUAGUGAGAAGGAUUGACGGUACCGGAAUAGAAAGCCACGGCUAACUACGUG